AUUGAACGCUAGCGGGAUGCCUUACACAUGCAAGUCGAACGAGUGGCGCACGGGUGAGUAAUAUAUCGGAACGUUCCCCGUAUCGGGGGAUAUAUCCUCGAAAGACUGCUUCUUAUACCAUACUAUUGGAUCGGCCGAUAUCGGAUUAGCUCGUUGGUGGGGUGAAGGCUCACCAAGGCAACGAUCCGUAGCUGGUGUGAGAGGACGAUCAGCAACACGGGGACUGAGAGACGGACCAGACGCCUACGGGAGGCAGCAGUGGGGAAUUGUGGACAAUGGGGGAAACCCUGAUGCAGCCAUCCCGCGUGUAUGAGAAGGCCUUCGGGUUGUAAAGUACUUUUGGCAAAGAGGCGGUAGCUGCAGAAUAAGCACCGGCUAACUACGUGCCAGCAGCCGCGGUAAUAC
rnacentral:rRNA from 1 species